rnacentral:rRNA from 1 species
AUUCCAGCUCCAAUAGCGUAUAUUAAAGUUGUUGCGGUUAAAAAGCUCGUAGUUGGAUUUCUGCCGAGGACGACCGGUCCGCCCUCUGGGUGAGUAUCUGGCUCGGCCUGGGCAUCUUCUUGGAGAACGUAGCUGCACUUGACUGUGUGGUGCGGUAUCCAGGACUUUUACUUUGAGGAAAUUAGAGUGUUUCAAGCAGGCACACGCCUUGAAUACAUUAGCAUGGAAUAAUAAGAUAGGACCUCGGUUCUAUUUUGUUGGUUUCUAGAGCUGAGGUAAUGAUUAAUAGGGAUAGUUGGGGGCAUUCGUAUUUAACUGUCAGAGGUGAAAUUCUUGGAUUUGUUAGAGACGGACUACUGCGAAAGCAUUUGCCAAGGAUGUUUUCAUCA